rnacentral:ncRNA from 1 species
AGAUAGAGGCGCAAGAGUUAAGAAAUCUCAUCUAAUGGAUGCAACCAGGAGAGAUGGAGGAGCAAUUGCCGAAGGUAUAAUAGUUUGCAUAUUAUUAUGUCCUGGGGGUAUAGAGAAAAUCUAUGCCACUGUCACUUAACACAUAGUUAAGUGGUGUGCUAUUGC